rnacentral:snRNA from 1 species
AUCUUUGCGCAGUGGCAGUAUCGUAGUCUAUGAGGCUUAUCUGAGACGCGAUUAUUGCUAGUUGAAAACUUUACCCAAUACCCCGCCUUGCCGAUUUGAAACAUAAUUGACAAUGGCAAUUUUUGAAAGUCUCUUAGGAGA